rnacentral:lncRNA from 1 species
GCAAGUGGCUUUGGCCUACAAUAAAGAUGGUUGUGAAAUUUCCCAUGCCGGAAGAUCUGCUCAGAGCUGGGACGGGCUCUCUGAAGACUGUGAAGGGUGCUGUUGUGAGCCACCCUUACAGACGGAGCUAGAGAGAGUGUGUUCCUCUGGUGUGCCCUGACUGGGGUGAAGUGGAGAGUUCCUACCACUGUUUGAAGGAUGCAGCAGACAUUCUCGGGGGCCUUCAUCCUUGGCAGCGGGGAUGCCAUCACCAUGGUGCAUCCCCACAGAUCUUGUUAAAAGUGUGCACAGAAGUCCCUGCAGAGUACCUGAGGACCUAGGAGUUCUCCUUCUCUUAAAUUAACACGGGAAACGUUUGCACUAUGGUGCCAUGUGCCUUGGCGUCUGCUCUGACCAGCUCAGUGGCUGCUCACACAGUCUUCAUCUUAUCUGUAAAGAUGACGGCCUGCACAUACAUUUGUCUGCAAUUCUGACAAAAGAAUUUAAUAAAAC